GAUCAUGGCUCAGGAUAAACGCUAGCGGCAGGCCUAACACAUGCAAGUCGAGGGGCAUCGGAUAGAGUUACUUCGGUUACUCUUGCCGGCGACCGGCGGACGGGUGCGUAACGCGUAUGCAACCUACCUUCAACAGGGGGAUAAUCCGAAGAAAUUUGGUCUAAGUACCCCAUAAUAUUCCGACAGGCAUCUGUCGGAGUUGAAAGCUUCGGUGGUUGGAGAUGGGCAUGACGUUGUAUUAGCUAGAUGGG
rnacentral:rRNA from 1 species